GUAGGGUCCGAGCGUUAUCCGGAAUCAUUGGGCGUAAAGAGCUCGUAGGCGGUUCAGCAAGUCGGCUGUGAAAGUUCGAGGCUCAACCUCGAAAUUGCAGUCGAUACUGCUGUGACUUGAAUUCGGUAGAGGAGAAUGGAAUUCCCGGUGUAGCGGUGAAAUGCGCAGAUAUCGGGAGGAACACCAGUAGCGAAGGCGGUUCUCUGGGCCGAUAUUGACGCUGAGGAGCGAAAGCGUGGGGGAGCAAACAGGAUUAGAUACCCUGGUAGUCCACGCCGUAAACGUUGGAUGCUAGGGUGUGGCGGUCUACCAACGACUGCCGUGCCGAAGCUAACGCAUUAAGCAUCCCCGCCUGGGGAGUACGGCCGCAAGGCUA
rnacentral:rRNA from 1 species